AGAGGGACUGUACUUCGACAGUAGGCUUGUAGCAGCGAGGACUUGGGGAUGCGUUCGAAGAAGAACCUUAGUGGAAGGUAGUUGGAAGAGAACCAGACUGUACUCCGACAGUAAACCCCAGCGGCAGGGUAGGGAAUUUCAUACAGAUCUACCUGGGAACCAUGACUGGUUCCAUCAGGGGUCUGUUGUAUCGGUUGAAGACUGUAGAAAUCGAAAGUUUUUGAAUUCCGGUUUCAGGGAGAUGGAAAACAAGGCAGGUGCAGCGGAAGCCAGGUAGAU
rnacentral:lncRNA from 1 species